ACGGGAUACGAGAUUUAAACUGUCUUUACUUUAUACAUAAAAAUUANUUUUUAGGUGAAGAAACCUAUAUAUUAAUAAAGGACAAAAAGACCCUAUUGAGCUUUAUUUAAAAAAAAUAUAUUAUAUAAUAUUUAUUAUCUAAUUUAUUAUAAAUUUGGUUGGGGCAACAGAGAAAUAUAAAUAUUUUUCUUUAGUUUUAAGAAUUAUUAUUCUUUUUAAUGAUCAAUUUAUAUGAGANNAAGAAAUAGUUACCAUAGGGAUAACAGGUUAAUUCUUUUGUAAAGUUCAUAUUGAUAAAAGAGUUUG
rnacentral:rRNA from 1 species